AGUUCAGACCCUAGAGGAGACACUCGAGGGCCAAGAGAAAAGAACUCCUUCACAACUGCCCUUCCCCGUGUCUUUCCCAAGGCAGGUGACUAAUAAAUUAUGCUCCAAUAAAAAUAUUCUUUGCUUGCAGGCAGAACGAGAGACCAGAGAGUUUAAUUAUCUUCCCCAAGGACAUUCAGCUAUUAAGUGCUACAGGCCCAUCUACACCCUGGCUUGGCUGUUUUAGGUGUCUUUCUCCUCUGCACUAGCCUCUGCCAGAACACGACAGCAGGUUUCUCACCCUGCCUGCCCUCUGUCACACCCUGACACCACCAUCACUGCUUCCAAAGUGCUGACCUCCCAAGCCAUCAAAUCUCAUGACAGCAGGUAUUGAGGCUCUGCGUCUGCUACUAGCCAAGGGGAGUCAUGGGUACAGGUUUAUCUUCCUGUCUGAAACAACCUCAACUGACACUACAUUAAACAACAAUUUCCAAGACAGCAGCCCUCAUUUAAUGAAGACAAUGAUAGCUGAG
rnacentral:lncRNA from 1 species